AUGAAGGCAGCAUUAAAAACUAUCCUCCCACAAACUCUGCAUAAGCUGUGUCGGUGGCAUAUCAUGAAGAAGUACAAGGACCACCUCGCCUUGCUGUAUCAGGCGCACGAGAAGCUCAAGGACGAACUCAAUGCAGUGCUGAACCACCCACUAAUGCCGUCAGAAUUUGAACGAGCAUGGAAGAACCUCAUUCAGAAGUACAACUUGCAAGACAACAAAGUGAUGAAUUCGUUGUGGGAUGACAUGCACGAGUGGAUCUCGGCUUACUACAAGGAAAUUUUCUGUGCUCGGAUGACUUCCACACAGAGAAGCGAGAGCAUGAACCGCAUACUGAAGAAAUUUUUUGUCAGGGAGAAGCAUGAUCUCCACCUGUUUGCUCAGCAAGUGGACAAGUGCAUUCAGACUAGGAAGGCCGUUGAGCACGCAGAGACAGUAGCAAAUGAGUCAGAGGUAAAAACAACAACAAAGUUUGGCUUCGAAGUUCAGCUAUCUAAAGUGUAUACAAGGGCAGUGUUUGCAGAUUUCAAAGAAACACUCUACCGUAGCACUGCAUUCAGAGCAGAACGGUGCCCUAAGAACCCGAAAAAGUAUCUUGUACACCACUACAACAGGUCGGAUGCAUUUGACUGGGCAAGGCAUAAUUUCCAAGUGGUCGCCGAUGAACAGAAAUGUGUCUACGAAUGUGAGUGCAAACUCUGGACACACACAGGCCUCUUUUGCGUCCAUGUCUUAUGCAUGCUUUCUCAUUUGAGAGUACUCAACAUUCCUGAGGUGUACAUCAAGAAAAGAUACACCCAUAACACAAGAUCAGAUGCAACGUUUGAUAGAAGAGACUACGAACAAAGAGCACCAGAUGGAACCUCGCUUUUUUGCCGUAGAAAAUUGCUGACAGAAACAACAAUGGACCUUGCAAACAGAGCGACAAGGUCCGAC
rnacentral:rRNA from 1 species